UCAGUUUGAAAAUCACACUUUUU
rnacentral:snRNA from 1 species